rnacentral:miRNA from 2 species
ACCUUGUUUGUUGCUGCUCCU